CACAGGCGCGCGGGGGAGAUGGCAGCCUCCAGGCACCUCCAGCUGCCGGCGUCUGCACUGCUCACCUUAGUGUGCUUCCGCACAGGAGCGGACGCAGCUCCGCGCAUCGUGAAUGGGACUGAGGCGGAUAUCAAGGACUACCCGUUCAUGGUGUCCGUGUGGUACCGCGGGGCCUUCAACUGCAGCGGCUCGCUGCUCAGUUCCACAUAGGUGCUCAGCGCAGCUCACUGCAUGGCGGGGGUGCAGAACGCGUCGGUGCUGUCGGUGUUGGCGGGCACGGCGACACUGAGUGGCGGCGGCCAGUGGCGCGUGGUGCGGCGAGCCGUCGGGCACGA